GCCAUCUACUUUUUCCUUACCUCCUCACAAAACAAAUAAUUUUACAGGGAAGAAAAUAUGUUCGGUUAACGUGAAAGUUUAUUCGCUAUCGUUUGAAUUGUGAGGAAUACAAAGUAAAAUCAAAGUGAAUCCAUAUUCUAGGCCAAAAUAGCAGAGUUUAGGUUUGUUUUUUUUCCUUAGACUAUGCACAAAUUAUACUUUUGUAAAUAUUCCUGUCAGUAUAACUUCAAUAAAAGCAGAGACCAUUCAGGCUGUGGUU